GAGCUGGGGCCUCCCAGGAGCAGGGAUGAAAGAGUAGCUACCCAAGAGCAGCUGGUACACAGAGAGGCCGGUGCAAAGCAGGGCUGGGGCUGGAGGCCUUGAGACCAUGGGGAGGGCGGGGCUGUCUGCAGAGAGAAGGAGCCAGAGCCAGGCGGGCCUAGGGUUUGGGCCUGGGAUGCCGCUGAGUCACUGACCCAUGUGCUGAGGACUGGACAGUCCAGCCCUUGGCUCUGAGCCGGAGUACAGCGCACUGUGGGUUGCACUAGAUGGCGAGCCCCAUGAGAACAGGUAUCUUCUUGCUGGCUGCUGAAUGCAGGACACCGAGCACAGUACAAAUGGUGCAGGAAGGAAACAAGGGAAGGAGGCAGCAAGGUUUCUCUGCCUCAGCCAGCAACGCCUCACGGACCUAGCUGCCAAGCUAAAACCCUCCUGACCCCCCUCCACUCCUCUCUUCCUCUCAUGGCCCUCCCUGAAGGCUGUACUCUCCAAAUGGAUCUAGAGGAGAACGGAAGUCCCCCGUGUCUGUGGCCUGUGUCUCUGCUGGCCUCUCCUGCUGUGUCCCUCAAAGGGUGCCUGGCACAGGAUCAAU